rnacentral:rRNA from 1 species
AUUGAACGCUGGCGGCAGGCCUAACACAUGCAAGUCGAGCGGAUGAAGGGAGCUUGCUCCUGGAUUCAGCGGCGGACGGGUGAGUAAUGCCUAGGAAUCUGCCUGGUAGUGGGGGAUAACGUCCGGAAACGGGCGCUAAUACCGCAUACGUCCUGAGGGAGAAAGUGGGGGAUCUUCGGACCUCACGCUAUCAGAUGAGCCUAGGUCGGAUUAGCUAGUUGGUGGGGUAAAGGCCUACCAAGGCGACGAUCCGUAACUGGUCUGAGAGGAUGAUCAGUCACACUGGAACUGAGACACGGUCCAGACUCCUACGGGAGGCAGCAGUGGGGAAUAUUGGACAAUGGGCGAAAGCCUGAUCCAGCCAUGCCGCGUGUGUGAAGAAGGUCUUCGGAUUGUAAAGCACUUUAAGUUGGGAGGAAGGGCAGUAAGUUAAUACCUUGCUGUUUUGACGUUACCAACAGAAUAAGCACCGGCUAACUUCGUGCCAGCAGCCGCGGUAAUACGAAGGGUGCAAGCGCUAAUCGGAAUUACUGGGCGUAAAGCGCGCGUAGGUGGUUCAGCAAGUUGGAUGUGAAAUCCCCGGGCUCAACCUGGGAACUGCAUCCAAAACUACUGAGCUAGAGUACGGUAGAGGGUGGUGGAAUUUCCUGUGUAGCGGUGAAAUGCGUAGAUAUAGGAAGGAACACCAGUGGCGAAGGCGACCACCUGGACUGAUACUGACACUGAGGUGCGAAAGCGUGGGGAGCAAACAGG